rnacentral:rRNA from 1 species
UACGGGGGGAGCAAGCGUUGUUCGGAUUUACUGGGCGUAAAGGGCGCGUAGGCGGUCACUACAAGUCAGUUGUGAAAUCUCCGGGCUUAACCCGGUAGCGGCCAAGUGAUACUGUUGGGCUAGAGUGCGGAAGGGGCAACUGGAAUUCUCGGUGUAGCGGUGAAAUGCGUAGAUAUCGAGAGGAACACCUGCGGCGAAGGCGGGUUGCUGGGCCGACACUGACGCUGAGGCGCGAAAGCUAGGGGAGCGAACGGG